rnacentral:rRNA from 1 species
UACGUAGGGGGCAAGCGUUGUUCGGAAUUACUGGGCGUAAAGCGCGUGUAGGCUGCUCGGAAAGUCGGAUGUGAAAGCCCUGGGCUCAACCUAGGAAGUGCAUUCGAAACUUCCGAGCUGGAGUUCUGGAGAGGAAGGCGGAAUUCUCGGUGUAGAGGUGAAAUUCGUAGAUAUCGAGAGGAACACCGGUGGCGAAGGCGGCCUUCUGGACAGUGACUGACGCUGAGACGCGAAAGCGUGGGGAGCAAACAGG